rnacentral:rRNA from 1 species
UGAUCCCUACGGGGCGCAGCAGUGGGGGAUAUUGCACAAUGGGGGAAACCCUGAUGCAGCGACGCCGCGUGUGGGAAGACGGUCCUCUGGAUUGUAAACCACUGUCCUCAGGGACGAAGAUGACGGUACCUGGGGAGGAAGCUCCGGCUAACUACGUUCCAGCAGCCGCGGUAAUACGUAGGGAGCGAGCGUUGUCCGGAAUUACUGGGUGUAAAGGGAGCGUAGGCGGGGAUGCAAGUUGGGUGUCAAAACUACCGGCUCAACUGGUAGUCGCACUCAAAACUGCAGCUCUUGAGUGAAGUAGG